rnacentral:rRNA from 1 species
GAGUUUGAUCGUGGCUCAGAUUGAACGCUGGCGGCAGGCCUAACACAUGCAAGUCGAGCGGAUGAAGGGAGCUUGCUCCUGGAUUCAGCGGUGGACGGGUGAGUAAUGCCUAGGAAUCUGCCUGGUAGUGGGGAUAACGUCCGGAAACGGGCGCUAAUACCGCAUACGUCCUGAGGGAGAAAGUGGGGGAUCUUCGGACCUCACGCUAUCAGAUGAGCCUAGGUCGGAUUAGCUAGUUGGUGGGGUAAAGGCCUACCAAGGCGACGAUCCGUAACUGGUCUGAGAGGAUGAUCAGUCACACUGGAACUGAGACACGGUCCAGACUCCUACGGGAGGCAGCAGUGGGGAAUAUUGGACAAUGGGCGAAAGCCUGAUCCAGCCAUGCCGCGUGUGUGAAGAAGGUCUUCGGAUUGUAAAGCACUUUAAGUUGGGAGGAAGGGCAGUAGUUAAUACCUUGCUGUUUUGACGUUACAACAGAAUAAGCACCGGCUAACUUCGUGCCAGCAGCCGCGGU